AGAGCUCACCCACAUCAUGAUCGGCCUGGAGAGCUGCUCCUUCCUGGAAGACGACUUCAUCCCAUUUGCAGUGCUCAACAUGAUGAUGGGUGGAGGUGGCUCCUUCUCUGCAGGAGGACCUGGGAAAGGCAUGUUCACCCGCCUGUACCUCAACGUGCUCAACAGGCAUCAUUGGAUGUACAAUGCCACCUCCUAUCACC